rnacentral:misc_RNA from 1 species
AGUCUUUCUCUCUCUCUCUUCCCCCAUGUGAAAGUCACCUUUUCUCCUGCAAAUUAGCAAAUCAGGGACCAUUUCCAUGAUUUUUCUUCCUCUUCUUAUAAGACCCUAAUGACUGAAUCAUACUCUCACACUAACAACUCUCUCUCUUUCCUUUAUUUUCUCUCUUUCUUGCUUCCCUUUUCUUUGAUUCUUUUCUUUAUCUCGUUAGAUUUGGAGAGAGAGAAAGUGUGUGUGUGUCACUGAGAUCCUUGGGAAUGGGUUUGCUUGAUUUACGGUAUUGGUGAGAAGGCUGUGCAAAAUGAGGAUGUUUUUGGUUACAAGAUUUAGUUUCUUUCUUCUUUCUUUUUGGAUUGCCGUUGCUCUUGUUUUCUUGUGCUGCUUUUGCCCAGUUUCAGCUCUGCCUCAGAAUGGCGGAGUCUCCAGAGAUUCUCUCAAGUUUAUCUUAGGAGAGGAGAAUUUGGGGCCAUGGAGAAACGGAAUGCCGGAGGCUGCUGCAGAAGCACCAGGCCCUUCUGAUGAUAACACGCUAGUACUGGCAGCGAAGAGAACAAAUCGACCAGACAUUCUUCAUGGGUUUAAGCGUUAUCGGGGUGGUUGGGAUAUCACCAAUCGCCAUUACUGGGCUUCUGUUGGUUUCACAGGUGCUCCUGGUUUUAUUUUGGCUGUCCUGUGGUUGUUUUCAUUUGGAUUGGCCCUUGCAUUACGCUGUUGCUGCCGGUGGAGAAUUAACAUUAAAGGCAAAGGAUCUGAUAGAUCUCAGAGGAUUUGUCUCAUAGUGCUUAUAGUGUUCACAUCUGCUGCAGCGGUUGGUUGCAUUCUUUUAUCUGUUGGUCAGGAUGAAUUUCAUGGUGAAGCUUUGCAGACUCUGAAAUAUGUUGUGAACCAAUCAAACUACACUGUACAAACUCUGAGAAAUGUCACAUGGUAUUUGUCACUUGCAAAGACCAUCAAUGUGGCCCAUGUAUUUCUUCCUUCUAAUGUCAUGGAUGAUAUUGACAAGUUGAAUUUAGAUCUAAAUACUGCAGCUGAUACACUAGAAGAGAAGACAGGUGAAAAUUCUAGAAAAAUAGUAAAAGUGUUCAAUGCUGUGCGAUCAGCAUUGAUCACUGUGGCGGCAGUAAUGCUUAUCCUGGCUCUGCUUGGUUUUUGUAUGUGUUUCUAGAAAUACCUAUUAAUUGUUAAUUUUUUAUCUUGGAAUUAAUUUUCUCAUGUACUCAUUCUUACCUGUUUAUUGAAUUGUUUUUUGUUUCAGUCCUUUCUAUCCUUGGGCACCAACAUGCUAUUCAUAUGUAAGUCUCGUAUCUUAGAUGUUCUCUGGUAAUUAUACUAACAUACGGUUGUAAGGUGUUUUUGAUGUCUGUAUCUAAUGUUACCAACACUUUUUUUCCAGAUUUGUAGUUAGUGGGUGGUUAUUAGUGGCAAUUACAUUCAUUCUUUGUGGAGUUUUUAUAAUUCUUAACAAGUAAGAUUCUUGAUCUUUUGUGGAAAGAUUUCUGUUCUUUUAUUCUGUAUUUGUUUAUUCAUAUAGUUUGAAAUUUUAGUAAAUUGAAAUUUAGUAUGCCAUGCUUUGUUUUAUUUCUAAACCACCUUCAUAUGCAAUACAUAAAGAAUUUCCUGCAGUUGGUUGUGCAAAAUUAUGUGGCACUCAAUAUAUUCUCAUUUGUGAUUUCUUAUAUAUAAAAUGUAUGAGUCAUCACUCCUAUCUGAUGUUUUAUUUUUAAUUGAGAAAUUACUGCUUAUAGAACUGUUGCUAAGAUGUAAAACUUUUUCCCUUUUUGAAAUCUUUUAAUUUCAGUGCAAUUUCUGAUACCUGUAUGGCCAUGGAAGAAUGGGUAGAUCACCCCCAUGCAGUGACUGCUCUUAGCAGCAUCCUUCCGUGUGUUGACCAGAGCACGACAAACAAGACACUCAUUCAGAGUAAAGAAGUGAUAAAUGAUAUUGUAAAUGUUGUCAAUACAUACAUAUACACCUUUGCAAAUGCAAAUCCAUCCCAGACCGAGUACAAUUAUUAUAACCAGUCUGGACCUUUCAUGCCUCCACUUUGUUACCCAUUUGACUCUCAGCUUCAAGAUCGUCAGUGUGGGCCCCAAGAGGUGUCCAUGACAAAUGCAUCCAUGGUUUGGGAGGACUAUGUUUGCAAGGUCUCACCAUUUGGGCUGUGCACAACUGUUGGUAGGGCGACCCCUGAGAUCUACGACCAGUUGGUAGCAGCAGUAAUGGAAAGCUAUGCUCUAGAGCACUAUACCCCACUUUUGCUCAGUCUCCAGGACUGUAAAUUUGUCAGGGACACAUUCCAAGAAAUCACCUCGAAUUAUUGCCCUCCAUUGGAACAUUAUCUGAAGAUUGUAAAUGCAGGACUGGGCCUUAUCGCAGUUGGAGUUUUACUCUGUCUCCUCCUCUGGAUACUCUAUGCAAACCGCCCCCAAAGGGAGGAAGUGUUUGUGAAAUUACCCUUGCCAAUAAAAGGCGUCAAUAGCAGGAGCAGCAAUAAGAACAGUUCAAGACAUCACGACAACAAUGAUGCAUCAUUGUCAAAUACUAGUGAAGUAUAGCGAAUUAGAAAAUCAACACAAAAUCAUCUUUAUUUCUGUGAGUUCAGUUACAUCCCGUAACAAGGGAAGAUACCAAGAUGGGGCGAAGUUCCAUUUUGAGUUGUAGGAUAGUGAUCAUAUGUGCUGUAUUGUUACUCUUGUAUGGAUGAAGUGUUUCUUUUGUGAAUACAAGUUGGAAAUGAAAUGAAAUGAAAAUUGUGUCUCUAGAGAACCAAAACUUAACGGUGUAUAUGAUGCUGCGCAUUGCUGGGAGGUUGUUCAAACUAUUUAAGGCUGUGUGGGCAUCAUGUUUAGAGCCCCGUUUGGUAUGAAGCUGGCCAAGGUCUAGUUGGUUUAGAAUGUGUGUGGUUGAAUAUUAUCCCCUAAAAGAAAAUUCA